rnacentral:rRNA from 1 species
GUGUCAGCAGCCGCGGUAAUACGGAGGGUGCGAGCGUUAAUCGGAAUUACUGGGCGUAAAGCGUGCGUAGGCGGUUCGUUAAGUCAGAUGUGAAAGCCCUGGGCUCAACCUGGGAACUGCAUUUGAAACUGGCGGACUAGAGUUUAGUAGAGGGGAGUGGAAUUUCAGGUGUAGCGGUGAAAUGCGUAGAUAUCUGAAGGAACACCAGUGGCGAAGGCGACUCCCUGGACUAGAACUGACGCUGAGGUACGAAAGCGUGGGUAGCAAACAGGAUUAGAUACCCUGGUAGUCCACGCCGUAAACGAUGUCGACUAGCCGUUGGUCCUAUUUACAGGAUUAGUGGCGCAGCUAACGCAUUAAGUCGACCGCCUGGGGAGUACGGCCGCAAGGUUAAAACUUAAAUGAAUUGACGGGG